CCCGACUGCUAUUUGGGUGAGGAUAAGCCAUGCGAGUUGGAUGGGAACCCAAAAAUCCCAUGGCAAACUGCCCAGUAACACAUGAUCAACUUACCCUAUAGAGGAAAAUAACCUCGGGAAACUGAGAAUAAUACUCCAUAGGUCUAGGAUGCUGGAAUGCACCUAGAUUGAAAGCUCUGGCGCCUAAGGAUGGGUCUGCGGACUAUCAGGUUGUAGUCAGGGUAAAGACCUGACUAGCCUACGACGGAUAUGGGUUGUGAGAGCAAUAGCCCAGAGACGAUAUCUGAGACACGAUAUCGGGCCCUACGGGGCGCAGCAGGCGCGAAAUCUUCACAAUGUGCGAAAGCACGAUGAGGGGAUCCCAAGUGCUGGCACGUAAGUGUCAGCUGUUUCUUUGUCUAAAAAACAAAGAGAGUAAGAGCUGGGUAAGACGGGUGCCAGCCGCCGCGGUAAUACCUGCAGCUCAAGUGGUGGUCGCUAUAUUGGGCCUAAAACGUCCGUAGCCGGUUUAGUAAAUGCUUGGGUAAAUUGCGUAGCUUAACUAUACGAAUACCGGGUAGACUGCUAAACUUGGGACCGGGAGAGGCUAGAGGUACUCCUGGGGUAGAGGUGAAAUUCUGUAAUCCUAGGGGGACCACCAGUGGCGAAGGCGUCUAGCUAGAACGGGUCUGACGGUGAGGGACGAAGCCCUGGGGCGCAAACCGGAUUAGAUACCCGGGUAGUCCAGGGUGUAAACGCUGCUUGCUUGAUGUUAGUUGGGCUCCGAGCCCAACUAGUGUCGGAGAGAAGUUGUUAAGCAAGCUGCCUGGGAAGUACGGUCGCAAGACUGAAACUUAAAGGAGUUGGCGGGGGAGCACAGCAACGGGUGGAGCGUGCGGUUUA
rnacentral:rRNA from 1 species